UUGUCUUUCUAAAGAAUGCUUUCUCUUAGAAACAUGAUUCAAAGACUGGUUUGGUAACUCAUGGAUGCUUAUGAAGAAAAUGGCUUUCUUUACAGACUAAGGCAAGGAGAGAGAGAGAAAAAGAGGAAAGAAAAGGAGGAAGGGAAGGAAGACAGAAAGGAAGCGUUAUGUUCAUCCGCGUUUCUCUCUGCAUUCUUUAGGAAGUGAUCAGAUCUUCUAAUAUAAACACACUUAGUAAGGCAUGUGUCACCAUGCCCACAUUAUUGAUGAUGAAACUGAAGCCCUGAGAAUUGACUUUUCUGAAGUCACACAGCUGACCAAGAGCAUGAGCUACAGCAGCAUCACAUAGGAAAUAAGCGGUGCUAGGAUGUGUGCCAGGUCAGCCCAAAUCCAAGGUCAGUACUCUUCAUACCACCACACCAGUUCUUCUCAUAUGACAUUUCAUUAUCUGUUAUGAAACGGUAUCUACCUCCAUUGUUGGCAGGCUCUUCCAAAAUAGGAAAGAA